GACGAACGCUGGCGGCGUGCUUAACACAUGCAAGUCGAACGGAAAGGCCCUGCUUUUGUGGGGUGCUCGAGUGGCGAACGGGUGAGUAACACGUGAGUAACCUGCCCUUGACUUUGGGAUAACUUCAGGAAACUGGGGCUAAUACCGGAUAGGAGCUCCUGCUGCAUGGUGGGGGUUGGAAAGUUUCGGCGGUUGGGGAUGGACUCGCGGCUUAUCAGCUUGUUGGUGGGGUAGUGGCUUACCAAGGCUUUGACGGGUAGCCGGCCUGAGAGGGUGACCGGCCACAUUGGGACUGAGGUACGGCGCAGACGCCUACGGGAGGCAGCAGUGGGGAAUAUUGCACAAUGGGCGGAAGCCUGAUGCAGCAACGCCGCGUGCGUGAUGACGGCCUUCGGGUUGUAAACCGCUUUCGCCUGUGACGAAGCGUGAGUGACGGUAAUGUGUAAAGAAGCACCGGCUAACUACGUG
rnacentral:rRNA from 1 species